UACGGAGGGUGCAAGCGUUAAUCGGAAUAACUGGGCGUAAAGAGCACGCAGGCGGGCUGUUAAGUCGGAUGUGAAAUCCCCGGGCUCAACCUGGGAAUUGCAUUUCAGACUGGGAGACUAGAGUCCUUUAGAGGGGGGUAGAAUUCCAGGUGUAGCGGUGAAAUGCGUAGAGAUGUGGAGGAAUACCGAAGGCGAAGGCAGCCCCCUGGAAAUAUACUGACGCUCAUGUGCGAAAGCGUGGGGAGCAAACAGG
rnacentral:rRNA from 1 species